AUACUUACCUGGACGGGAUCAAUGGGCGAUCAAUAAGACCCAUGGCCUAGGCUAGUGACCUCCAUUGCACUUUGGAGGGGUGCUAGCCUAAGGUCGACCCAAGUGGUCGAGCCUACGUCAUAAUUUGUGGUAGUGGGGCCUGUGUUCGCGCGGCCCCUAU
rnacentral:snRNA from 1 species